GGGGUGCAGGGGGAGUGGGACAGCAAGGCACCCUCCCCACGUGGACAGAGACACUCUGCAGAGUCCAGAGAAGAUCCAGCCUCAGAGAAACCCACAGGAGUGGGCCCAAACGGGAAACUGAGGCUGAGGAACAGCCGAGUCUCUGUCUAAGGUGGUAGGUGGCGCAGCAAGAUCUGAACCCAGACCCGCUGACCCCAGGCCUGUCUGGGAACCCGGGACCCUCCAGCUGCCCCUGCCAGGGUUACCAAGGCAGGGCAGAUGGCAGGAGAGGGGACACGUCGGGGGGGGGGACCCCGGAUGUAGGCAGGGGGACGGGAGCCUGGGCCUCACCUGUCUUAGACAAGAAGCUGGCGUGGGCAGAAGGGCAUUGAGGUGACUGGGCCUUGUUGGCAGGUGACUGAGCAAAGGCUUCCCUCUCUGCACUCCAAGGCCUCAGGUCUUUCAUUCGCCCAUCUGUUGUUUUUUGAAACAGGGUCUCACUGGGUAGCCAGGCUGGCCUCCAACUCACAGCAACUCUCCUGCCUCAGCCUCCUGAGUGCUGGGAUGACAGGUGUGAGCACCCCGUGUAUUCGAGGUGCUGUGGAUGGGGAAGGACAUUCGUGGGCCAGGAGUGGACAGGUGAGGUCUGAGCCCUAUCCUGCUGUCCUUGCUUUCUGAGGGCCUCGACCCCUUGCUGGGAUGCUGGGCUGUGCAGCCGCCUUCAGGAAGUGUCCAGGCCUCUCCCCAGAGACAGGGCCCCUGACCACAUCCCUGUCACCAUGCUCCGCUCAGUCCCAGGUCCACAGGAGCCUUGACCCACGGUGGUGGAGCCUGUGUCCCCAGUCCAGCACCAGGUUUGUCGGCUGCUUGGGCACGAGUGCAGGCUCGGUGUCCCCUCCUGGAACAGGGCUGGGUGACAGUGCCUCCCUGAGACACGAGGGGAGCCAGGAGAGACACCCCAGCAGGGAAGCUCUGACCCUGGCCCGGCCCUGCAUGAUGGAGGAGGCCCUGACGGGCCUGGGAAUCUGCUCUUCCGCAGCUCUUUCUGGACUGAACAGGCCAGGAGGAAACCCAGGCUGAGGCUGGGGUCCACUGCCCACCCAGGCUGCUGGAGAUAGGAGCUGUGGGGGCUGGGGUCCCGCCCCAGAGCUCAGAGCAGGCUGAGCCCCAAGAGGAAGAGGAUGAAGGAAGAGGGAGGAGGAGAAAAAGGAGGACCCAGAAAACCCCAGGACAGAACCAGGCCAGAAGUUCUGUUCCUCCGGGGCCCUGCCUUCCUGGCUCUCCACUGCCUUUGCUGGCUCUGCUCUGGCCUCUGGGUUUCCUCCAUUCCCACAGGGCGUGGCAUCUCACCUGUAAUCCCCAGGUUUGGGAGGCUGAGGCAGGAGGAUCCCUGUGAGCUGGAGGGCAGCUUGGGCUGCAUAGUGAGACUUUGUCUCUAAAAUGAAAAAGAGAGGACAGGAAAGGCCAAGCAGUCAGGGCAGGGCGUCUCCACGGUGGACCCCAAGGAAAAGCGGCCUCACACUGGGGCGACCGGGGCAGGACCCGUGGAGCAAGCGUGAACUGGUGGGCUGUGCCCUGUCUCGAUCUCCAACCUCCAGCCUCCUUGAAAUGACACACUGCACACUGAUUUAAUUACAUGUCCGGUGUGGGGCAGAGUGGGCGGCCUGGCCCCUCUGCCUUGCAGGGUCUCAGCCCUGGUCCCCAACUUGGGACCCUGGGGAGUGCGGGGGAGGGGGUGCCACUGACCUGCUGGCCCUGGUGCCCGCACUUACCUCCCCAGCCCCACUCUCCGGCCAACCCCACCACCCUGCCCUGCAGAGGAGCCUCCCCACCAUGGUGGGGUCAGAGGGCACAGGGUCACCAGACCCAGUGGCACUGCCAGGUCACAGGCUGUCAGUGAUACAGGCAGACACAGUCUCGGGGCCAGGCAGCCUGUCACAGCCACGCUGGGGACAGAAGCUCCUGUCCUGAGGGGAGGGACAAAGCCAGCACCUCCCCAGAAGCACCGGGAGGGAUCUUCUGACCUCUGGGGCAGCAGAGGCCUGCAGGGAGUGACUGGCCCCACAAGCCCACCAGGUCCUGUCCCCCUGGCCUCCCCGCCCAAGACCCACAGCAGGGGCAGGCAGCCGACCAGGGUCCCCAAGCCACAUCCAGCGCAGGGGACGGAGUGGCAGCGGCUUCACGGAGCUCUGGCAGUGCCCAGGCCCUGUCCUAAGUGCUUAGCCCCCGCUCCUGCCCAUCCUCCACCCGGGGAAACUGAGGCUCAGGGUCACAAAGCCACAGUAUCACGAUGGCCGUCAGCACAUGGACCAGGCUGUCCUGUGAAAUGAGGUCCCCAUGUGACCCUCAUGCCUAUCCGCUGUCCAUCCGCCCAUUCCUCCGUCCCAUUUGUCCAUCCAUCCCUCUGCCUACCCGCCUGUUACUGUCUACUCAUCCGUCUGUCAGUCCGUCCAUCCAUCCUCCACCCGCCAUCCCUCUAUCCAUCCCCAUCCACCCCCAUCCAAUGUCCCACUCCCUUCUCAGCCCCUUGUGUCAGCACCUCAGCCUCUGGCUCCGCACCCCUCGGUCCCUGUCCUCCUGUGCUGUCCCCCACCUGCCCCCUCUUCUGCUUUGUCCCGCCUGUGGGCAUCACCUGCUAAGUGCCCACCCUCUGCCGCCCUGGCUGGGAUCCCUGGGGGCCCUGCGGUCUCUAAGCUCACUGUUCAGCCAGGGGCGCAGAGUUACCUCGGGGCACGUGGUAGGCUAUGCCUUGGGGGACGCCACUAAUUUUAGCCACAGCCAUGGGAGAAAGGUAAGCUCGGUCCUGCUCUGUCCAGGGGAACCCUGAUUGUGCUGCUUGGGGAGAGGAGAGAGCCGUGGCCAGGCGUCCCGUGCCCGUGGCAUCUGCCUCUGCCAGGCUGCUAGACUGGUGUCGCAGCCCCAGAACCAGCGGCCCUUAUGGGGAUGCCCUCCCCCGGCCGGCGGGUACCCUCAGGGAUGGCCAGUGACCUCUGUGACCCUGGCUGUCUCCCUGUUCCCUGGGGCCAGGGGUCUCGGGCUGCUGCCCAGGAAACAGGAAGGACCUGUGUGUCCCUUCCUCUGGGGACAGGCUGACCCCGCGGGUCACAGGCCAAGGACACAUUCAGACCGUGGCCCGUCCUCUCCCAGGACUCGCUUUCCACUUGGGGUCCUCUCUGGUGAGGAGGCCAGAAACUCUCCCCUGCCGCCCCCUCGUCCUCUCCCUUCCUGGGCAGGAUUCGCCUCUUGAAAUUCUGCACACUAAUAAAAUCCUAACUAAUUUACAUCAGAGAUGGGGGGAGCAAGCGGUUGCCAUGGAGACCAUCUCCAGGGCCCUGCGGCCUCCACCUCGAGGUGCUGCGAGAGAACAAGAGACCUGCAUGGCUCUGCAGCUGGGGCCGGGCCUCCCCCGCCCUGCCCUGGUCCCUGAGCCUGGGGGGACAGGACUGGGACAGCCCGUUGCCUGGGAUAAACCGGCCAGGUGCGGGAGGGAGAGCCCCUGCCAGGGCUGAGUGCCUGUUCCCUGCCCUGCGCCUUCCCUGGGGCUGCUGGCCUCUCUCCCAGAGUCACCCGAAAAGGUGUGCAUGUGUGCAUGUGCAGGUGUGUGCGUGUGUGCCCACACGCAUGUGUGGUAUUAGGUGUGGAACCUGGGCCCUGCACAUGGAGCUACAAACCCACCUCCUUUUUUAAUUUUAAACUCAUGUUAAACCACUAAGUUGUAAAGACUUGAGGUUCAAACUCAGGGAUCUCCUGCCUCAGCCUCCCAGUGGGCUGGGAUCACAGGCAUGCGCCACCUCGCCAGGCUCAGAGGGUAACAUUUUAAGUCCCAUUUUAUCAACAAUGACAGAGUCUCCAGGAGGUGGGACAACACUGUGUUCAGACCCCCAGUCUUCUGACUCUAAAACCGUCAUGGUGAAGGUGAUAAACUGUCUCCAGGGAGAAAAAUGACAAAAGCAGAGGAGGGGAGGACAGAGAGGACUUGAGAAACCAUGGGGUCUAAAUCGGGUUUCGAAGGAUGACUAGGAGCUCCGUAAGGGAAGCGAUGGGAGGAAACUGCUCCAGGCAGAGGGAACAUUGCAAAAGCUGACCCUGACCAAAGAGCCCUAGGCUGAGGGCUGGAGGGGCUGUAGAGAGAAGCCCUGGCAGGGGCCAGAGGGCCAGCGUGGCACUGAGAUACAGGCCGUGGCACUGUGCGUCCCCUCGUUCCUCUUAAUUCUACUUGACUUUGAGAGCUUGGACAGAGAAGGUUGGGGCUGCUGAGGCCGCAGCCUGGCUCAUGCCCUUUGCCAACGCAUGCCUGGCACACUUUCCACUGCUGGCAAGGGCUUGGCCUGUCCCCAAGGACAAGAGCUGGCCAGGACAAGGUGUGCCCCCGAGGAUGGCAUAGAGACCCUUGCGACAGAGGUGGCUGUGGUCUCAUCAGAGUCCAAGGAGAAAAGCUGCCGGCCCCAGCUCUCAGGGACACUGAGCUGCAGGCAGCAAUGCACGUCUAGCCACCCAACUGUCCUCUGGGCCGGACUGUCCUCUGCUGGCCUGCAGUGGAGGUGGACACCCUGAGUUCAGAUCCUGCUUCCCCAUGGAUUGUGUACCCACAGUAAACACCGAGGGACAAUCAGACAUUGUCUACAGGCCAAAACAAAAAAUGUAUUUUUCCAGAACAAGAGAUGGAACCCAGAGCCUUUCGUGUGGUAAGUGAAUACCGUACCUCUGUGCUCCACUGCAGUGCAAGACUGAGAGCCCUGAUCCCUACCUCACACCAUAUACAACGACGCCCACUGGGCCACAGGCCUAAGUGUGAGGCUUAUUACCGGACUGCUGUGCUUUGUUUUUUGAGACAGGGCCUCCCUACGUAGUCCAGCUAGCUUUAAGCUUACUGUGUGGCACAGGCUGGCCUGUAACUCGUGGCAGUCCUCCUGCCUCAGCCUCCAAAUGCUGGGGUCACUGGGGCCACCAGUCCUGACCAAACUUUUAGAAAGAAACAGGAGAAAAUCUUGAGCACUUCACAUGAGGCAGAAUUCCUAGACAUAAGAAUACUGAUUGGUCCAUAAGAGAGAAAAUGAAUUGCCAGCCCUUCCUCACCAGGGAAACUCUCAUUCUGAGAAAGAACUGUUCAGAGAGAAGAGGUCAGGCUGGAGGUGGGAGAAAGGAUUUGCAAACUGUUGGGAGCCGCAGCCCCGAGCCCGGUCGCCUCACUUGGCGGACGUGAGGCCUGUAGUAAAGAGUGAGGCCUGAGGUAGAUUACCCCUCCCAUCGAACACGUUAGUUUCCUGCUUACCGCGUAAACAACCCGCUCAACAAUAUAGUCUGCCUGGCAACUGAUGAUGUUAGCCAAUCAGCUUGCCUUGCUUACUUUAACAUGAUUGGACACUGUACCCGUAUAUAUACCGGUGCCACCCCUGGGCGGAAGUAGAAGCCAGAUAGAAGCCCGGAAGUAGAAGCCCAAAAGGAGCCGCGGAGAGCGGACCGGUAGAGGCUUUGGGGCAGGCUGAAGCACAAAAGGAGCCGCGGGGAGCGGACCAAAGGAGGCUUCAGCUGGGAGAACCCAGGGCAGGCUGUACGGAGAAGGAAAAUAAAAAGAAAAGGUUGUCCACUACCAGACUGUGUCGUGUGUCCUUCCUGCCGGCCGGGAGCGGACAUCGACAUUUGGAGGCCCGCCCGGGGACUGAUCACCCCCGCGACGUGGAAGUGGACAACGCUCCAGUACAGAGCUGCGAGACAGGAAUCGGUACGAGAACCACUGUGGAUACCGGAGAGACUGACACGGGCAACAAAGCCCUCGACUGAAGAUCAGACCUGCCCUACUGGAGAUCCAUCACAGACCAACCAACAAGAUGAAUAGAAAUAGCGGUAGCCCGAAAUGGACAAGAAGAUCCUCAGGCAUAUGCAUGGCUCGCUCGCCUAGCCUACGACCGAGUCUAGGGACGGUGAGCUUCCCACACUCCUCCUCUAAAAAAUUAUGAUAUAGCAGGGUAGAUGAGUCAAUGACGGGUAAGAGCGUGCCUCCCCAGCAUGACUCGACCUAAGCCAGGCCCUACCCCAUCCUGCACGUAAGCCGCUGGACUGUUAGAUGCUGCCCAGGUCUAAAAUUCUCUCCGAGGGGAUUUCUUUACGGAGAGAGAAUGAGUGCAAGCUUGUGUGCAUCCAGGUUCCGUCCAGUUUGUGCCUGGCCCUAGAAAAAGGAUGAGGGCCUCAGGGCCUUGGCAGACCAUGGGACGGCCGACCAGGGUCUAAGCCAAGGACCUACGGUGGGCCUACGCAUAGGGCAUAAGCCUCUGCACCCAGUCCAGGAAGGGCUACGAUGCGCACAUUUAUAAAAAAUAAAAAAGGGGGAGAUGUUGGGAGCCGCAGCCCCGAGCCCGGUCGCCUCACUUGGCGGACGUGAGGCCUGUAGUAAAGAGUGAGGCCUGAGGUAGAUUACCCCUCCCAUCGAACACGUUAGUUUCCUGCUUACCGCGUAAACAACCCGCUCAACAAUAUAGUCUGCCUGGCAACUGAUGAUGUUAGCCAAUCAGCUUGCCUUGCUUACUUUAACAUGAUUGGACACUGUACCCGUAUAUAUACCGGUGCCACCCCUGGGCGGAAGUAGAAGCCAGAUAGAAGCCCGGAAGUAGAAGCCCAAAAGGAGCCGCGGAGAGCGGACCGGUAGAGGCUUUGGGGCAGGCUGAAGCACAAAAGGAGCCGCGGGGAGCGGACCAAAGGAGGCUUCAGCUGGGAGAACCCAGGGCAGGCUGUACGGAGAAGAAAAAUAAAAAGAAAAGGUUGUCCACUA